rnacentral:rRNA from 1 species
AUUGAACGCUGGCGGCAUGCCUUACACAUGCAAGUCGAACGGCAGCACGGGAGCAAUCCUGGUGGCGAGUGGCGAACGGGUGAGUAAUAUAUCGGAACGUGCCCAGUCGUGGGGGAUAACGUAGCGAAAGCUACGCUAAUACCGCAUACUAUCUAUGGAUGAAAGCGGGGGAUCGCAAGACCUCGCGCGAUUGGAGCGGCCGAUAUCAGAUUAGGUAGUUGGUGAGGUAAAGGCUCACCAAGCCGACGAUCUGUAGCUGGUCUGAGAGGACGACCAGCCACACUGGGACUGAGACACGGCCCAGACUCCUACGGGAGGCAGCAGUGGGGAAUUUUUGGACAAUGGGCGCAAGCCUGAUCCAGCAAUGCCGCGUGCAGGAUGAAGGCCUGGUUGUAAC